CAAAGGCUUGGUCCUGACUUUACUGUCAACUCUAGCUAAACUUACACAUGCAAGUAUCCGCGACCCUGUGAGAAUGCCCCACAGUUUUCCGCCCGAAAACAAGGAGCUGGUAUCAGGCACACCUAAUAAUAAAGCCCAUGACGCCUUGCUUAGCCACACCCUCAAGGGAACUCAGCAGUGAUAAACCUUAAGCUAUAAGUGCAAACUUGACUUAGUUAAAGCUAAGAGGGCCGGUAAAACUCGUGCCAGCCACCGCGGUUAUACGAGAGGCCCAAGUUGACAGACACCGGCGUAAAGCGUGGUUAAGGUAAAUUAAAACUAAAGCCGAACACCUUCAGGGCAGUUAUACGCAUCCGAAGGCACGAAGCCCCACCACGAAAGUGGCUUUAUGAUCCCUGACCCCACGAAAGCUAUGACACAAACUGGGAUUAGAUACCCCACUAUGCCUAGCCGUAAACAUUGAUAGAAUUCUACACCCUCUAUCCGCCUGGGUACUACGAGCAUUAGCUUGAAACCCAAAGGACUUGGCGGUACUUUAGAUCCCCCUAGAGGAGCCUGUUCUAUAACCGAUGACCCCCGUUCAACCUCACCCUCCCUUGUUUAUCCCGCCUAUAUACCGCCGUCGUCAGCUUACCCUGUGAAGGUCUAAUAGUAAGCAAAAUUGGCAUCGCCCAGAACGUCAGGUCGAGGUGUAGCGCAUGAGAGGGGAAGAAAUGGGCUACAUUCGCUAACAUAGCGAAUACGAACGAUACACUGAAAACGUGUAUCCGAAGGAGGAUUUAGCAGUAAGCGGAAAAUAGAGUGUUCCGCUGAAAUCGGCUCUGAAGUGCGUACACACCGCCCGUCACUCUCCCCAAGCUUAUCAAUACAUAUAUCUAAAACGCUUUAACCGCGAAGGGGAGGCAAGUCGUAACAUGGUAAGUGUACCGGAAGGUGCACUUGGAAAAAU
rnacentral:ncRNA from 1 species